GGAUAUAGCUCAGUUGGUAGAGUGCUUGACUCACAUGAACAAGGCCCUGCGUUCAAUCCCCAGUACCA
rnacentral:tRNA from 1 species